rnacentral:rRNA from 1 species
UGCAUCGAUGGAGAACGCAGCAAAAUGCGGAAUCUGGUGUGAUUGCAGAUCCCGCGACCAUCGAGUUUUUGAACGCAAGUUGCGCCCGAGGCCUUCCGGCCGAGGGCACGUCUGCCUGGGCGUCACGCCAAAAGACACUCCCAACCCACCCGAGGGGGAGGGACGUGGUGUUUGGUCCCCCGUGCCGCAGGGCGCGGUGGGCCGAAGUUGGGGCUGCCGGCGAAUCGUGUCGGGCACAGCACGUGGUGGGCGACACUCAGUUGUUCUCGGUGCAGCGCCCCGGCACGCGGCCGGCGCAUCGGCCCUAAGGACCCAAGGAGCACCGCAGCGCGUAGCCGCUCGGACCGCGACCCCAGGUCAGUCGGGACUACCCGCUGAGUUUAAGCAUAUCAAAAAGCGGAGGAAG